AGGAGCUCAGGAAGAAUUUCCUCCUCUUCAUUUAAGCCAUUUCCAUCCUUGGAGAUUCUUACGUUCGAAAAUAGGCCUAAUUAUUUGAAGGUCAAUAAUUAAAUCAUACAUUAAAAACAGGAGUAUAUUAUGAUCCUUGAGAUGUCGCAUUUCUUCAAAAGGCAUAUAUGAGAUGCGUAUGCUUGUCACAUUUGGGGGUAAUUCAAAAUGAUUGCAGACCUCCGCUAACAUGCCUGUCCUUGAGGAUUUUGUGACAUCGAUCACCGUCUCAAGAUUGUUAUUUCAAGUGACUUGAUCUAAAGUUUCAAGAGCAGAAUGUUAUUGGCUUUCAAUGAGCAUAGAAAUGGCCAAAUGUUUCUUGAAGAUGCCACAUCUUAGGUGAGGGAGCUUGUUGAAUUGCUCUGUUUUGAAGAGUUACAUGAGGAACAAGGAAGGCGUGUAAAAAAGCUAAUAUCUAUAGGAAUCCCCUUUAGCUAAUUCAAGAGUUACAGGCGAAAAAUUAU